rnacentral:rRNA from 1 species
GACGAACGCUGGCGGCGCGCCUAACACAUGCAAGUCGAACGAGAGAGAAGGAGCUUGCUUCUUUGAUCGAGUGGCGAACGGGUGAGUAACGCGUGAGGAACCUGCCUCAAAGAGGGGGACAACAGUUGGAAACGACUGCUAAUACCGCAUAAGCCCACAGGUCGGCAUCGACCAGAGGGAAAAGGAGCAAUCCGCUUUGAGAUGGCCUCGCGUCCGAUUAGCUAGUUGGUGAGGUAAUGGCCCACCAAGGCGACGAUCGGUAGCCGGACUGAGAGGUUGAACGGCCACAUUGGGACUGAGACACGGCCCAGACUCCUACGGGAGGCAGCAGUGGGGAAUAUUGCACAAUGGGGGAAACCCUGAUGCAGCGACGCCGCGUGGAGGAAGAAGGUCUUCGGAUUGUAAACUCCUGUU